CAGCAGCCGCGGUAAUACGAAGGGGGCUAACGUUGUUCGGAUUUACUGGGCGUAAAGCGCACGUAGGCGGAUCGAUCAGUCAGGGGUGAAAUCCCAGAGCUCAACUCUGGAACUGCCUUUGAUACUGUCGAUCUGGAGUAUGGAAGAGGUGAGUGGAAUUCCGAGUGUAGAAGUGAAAUUCGUAGAUAUUCGGAGGAACACCAGCGGCGAAGGCGGCUCACUGGUCCAUUACUGACGCUGAGGUGCGAAAGCGUGGGGAGCAAACAGGAUUAGAUACCCGAGUAGUCCCUGUCUCUUAUAC
rnacentral:rRNA from 1 species